UCCCCAGAAGUGGAGGCGAGGAUGAAGAAGACCGGCCCCAGACCACCGCUCUAGUCCCCUCUCUGUCUUCUGUUACAGAGGCAGUAAGCUAUUGGCAGAAAGCCAAUGGCUACUGAGCAAAAAUAAACCUGGACCCAGGAAGGAAUGGGGACCUCCAACCACCACCACCACCACCACCACAAAAAGCUGCCUUAGAAACCACAGGGACCAGGUAGGUAUAAAGAUGUCAGAAUUGGCUACCACUUUUGCCCUAUAUCCAAAACUGAAAGGGAGAGGACAUGGGAAAGUG
rnacentral:lncRNA from 1 species